rnacentral:SRP_RNA from 2 species
GCCAGGUGUGGUGGCCCAUGCCUGUAAUCCCAGCUACUCAGGAGGCUGAGGCAGGAGAAUCACUUGAACCCAGGAGGCAGAGGUUGCAGUGAGCCGUGAUUGUGCCACUGCACUCCAGCCUGGGUGACAGAGUAAGACUCUGUCUCAA